GACGAACGCUGGCGGCGUGCCUAAUACAUGCAAGUCGAACGCUUCUUUCCUCCCGAGUGCUUGCACUCAAUUGGAAAGCGGAGUGGCGGACGGGUGAGUAACACGUGGGUAACCUACCCAUCAGAGGGGGAUAACACUUGGAAACAGGUGCUAAUACCGCAUAACAGUUUAUGCCGCAUGGCAUAAGAGUGAAAGGCGCUUUCGGGUGUCGCUGAUGGAUGGACCCGCGGUGCAUUAGCUAGUUGGUGAGGUAACGGCUCACCAAGGCCACGAUGCAUAGCCGACCUGAGAGGGUGAUCGGCCACACUGGGACUGAGACACGGCCCAGACUCCUACGGGAGGCAGCAGUAGGGAAUCUUCGGCAAUGGACGAAAGUCUGACCGAGCAACGCCGCGUGAGUGAAGAAGGUGUUCGGAUCGUAAAACUCUGUUGUUAGAGAAGAACAAGGACGUUAGUAACUGAACGUCCCCUGACGGUAUCUAACCAGAAAGCCACGGCUAACUACGUG
rnacentral:rRNA from 1 species